rnacentral:rRNA from 1 species
UACGAAGGGGGCUAGCGUUGCUCGGAAUUACUGGGCGUAAAGGGCGCGUAGGCGGACAGUUUAGUCAGAGGUGAAAGCCCAGGGCUCAACCUUGGAAUUGCCUUUGAUACUGGCUGUCUUGAGUUCGGGAGAGGUGAGUGGAAUGCCGAGUGUAGAGGUGAAAUUCGUAGAUAUUGGGAAGAACACCAGUGGCGAAGGCGGCUAUCUGGACCGGUACUGACGCUGAGGUGCGAAAGCGUGGGGAGCAAACAGG